rnacentral:rRNA from 1 species
UACGUAGGGUGCAAGCGUUGUCCGGAUUUAUUGGGUUUAAAGGGUGCGUAGGCGGCCUUGUAAGUCAGUGGUGAAAUACUCCAGCUUAACUGGAGGGGUGCCAUUGAUACUGCAGGGCUUGAGUUAAGUUGAAGUUGGCGGAAUUGACGGUGUAGCGGUGAAAUGCUUAGAUAUCGUCAAGAACACCGAUAGCGAAGGCAGCUUACUAGACUGUAACUGACGCUGAUGCACGAAAGUGUGGGGAUCAAACAGG